AUUGAACGCUGGCGGCAGGCCUAACACAUGCAAGUCGAACGAGUGGCGGACGGGUGAGUAAUGUCUGGGAAACUGCCUGAUGGAGGGGGAUAACUACUGGAAACGGUAGCUAAUACCGCAUACCAUCAGAUGUGCCCAGAUGGGAUUAGCUUGUCGGUGGGGUAACGGCUCACCAAGGCGACGAUCCCUAGCUGGUCUGAGAGGAUGACCAGCCACACUGGAACUGAGACACGGUCCAGACUCCUACGGGAGGCAGCAGUGGGGAAGAUUGGACAAUGGGCGCAAGCCUGAUGCAGCCAUGCCGCGUGUGUGAAGAAGGCCUUCGGGUUGUAAAGCACUUUCAGCGGGGAGGCGUUACCCGCAGAAGAAGCACCGGCUAACUCCGUGCCAGCAGCCGCGGUAAUUC
rnacentral:rRNA from 1 species